AUGAACAGGAACAUCAUCAUCAUUGUAGUAUACUUGCCACACACACCCAUAGAAUCGUCCAUUUAUCUUUUGGACUUACAAAGGUUGACAUGCACAACCAAAUUUGCAUUACCAAGAGUUGCAGUUUUUGCGACUCUGUACCUAAUCUUCAGUUUUCACAAGUGCCAUCUCGACAUGCACUACCUAGAAUUCAUUAGUAAUUUCAGCACCAUCAAGUUCAAAUUUAGGAUCACAACUUACAACUGUAGCAAGAGCUACAUUUUUGUUAUGAUUUUUUAG
rnacentral:rRNA from 1 species